ACAGCAGCAGCCACGGUAAAACGGAGGAUCCAAGCGUUAUCCGGAAUCAUUGGGUUUAAAGGGUCCGUAGGCGGUCUUGUAAGUCAGUGGUGAAAGCCCAUCGCUCAACGGUGGAACGGCCAUUGAUACUGCAGGACUUGAAUUAUUGGGAAGUAACUAGAAUAUGUAGUGUAGCGGUGAAAUGCUUAGAGAUUACAUGGAAUACCAAUUGCGAAGGCAGGUUACUACCAAUUGAUUGACGCUGAUGGACGAAAGCGUGGGUAGCGAACAGGAUUAGAUACCCCCGUAGUCCCUGUCUCUUAUAA
rnacentral:rRNA from 1 species